ensembl:lncRNA
GAUAAGAAGACACCGGCAAAGCGUAAGAGCGCCAGAGUGAGGCAGCUGUAAGGAGCAGCACUACGGAUCCAUCUAGAGGGGCCCAAAGGAAAUCAGCAUGCCAGAACACAGAGACUCUUCACAGACUCGCACUCCUGGAGGUAGCAGUGAGCAGAACCUCCUGGUUCUGCAUGAGGCCACAAGUGAGGAAACAGCCUUCCUUGCCCAGAGGCAUCCUGCCGUCGGGUAUCACAGCCAGGACUUGAAGUCAGAUCUGUCUAACUCCAGGACCACAGCUUGCUGCUGUCCCAGAGGAACCCGUCCAUGCUGGUGAGCCCCAUGAAACCUCUUCAGCGCUUUGUUCCGUUCUCUUAACUCGCAGACCCAGUCAGCAAGUUCUUUAUUUCCACAAAUGGUGCUGUUAAACUAAUGGCUCUGGGACCUAGAGGCUGGCCUCUGAGCAGUGAAGCCUUCCCCACAUUCUGCCUUGCAAAGAAUUCGUUAGAAAGUCCAGGAGCCAAGGCCCAUGUGGAAACGUUUGGUGGCCGCCAUUUUGCUUCAGGAAGGCAAACGUGAGCACCUUAUACAACCUCUUGCCCAGCGUUAAAGGCAGCCGGCGGCCGGGGUCGGUCAUCUCCUAGAAAGGCCCCUUGUAAAGGGCGGUGGCGGACCUCAUCAGGCUGAAAAAUGCUAAGAAGCCAGGGUUGAAAUAGAGGCCUCUUUCUGUUUGGUCAAUAAGCAGCUGUGAAGGAUGCGUAGGACGGAGCUAAAUUUAUUUGUUCCUUUCUGUCUCNNNNNNNNNNNNNNNNNNNNNNNNNUGCAGCUGUCUCACUCUCCCGUGAGCCUUCUGCAGGCACCAGCGUGCACAGAGGUUGGCCCUCCAGGACGCAAUUCCCCCCUGCCUCUGGUUGGUUCCCUUCCUGCUGCAGGCAGGAUUUCCAGGGCCUCUCGCCAGUCGGGAGAACUGAGGAGCUGCCUCCCAGGCCCUGGGUGGAAUCAUCUACCUUUUUAAAAACAGACGGGCUGCUGAACAGAGAUACCCUGGCCCUUGCGGCCACACCCUGGAAAACCACACAAGUCCUGACCGCCUCUGCUUUCACUGCUCAGACCUGUGGGAAACUUCCUUGCCUGAACGGCUUCUUGACGGUUACUGCUACGGUUCUGCUGAGUCAGAUGCACACCCCCCCAGCUGCUCACCGGAAACACAGCUGUGAGGCGAAAAUAACCACAGGGCCCGGCAUGGAGCACCGUGCGCCUUCCAGAAAAGAGGGCAGAAAACCUCAAAACAGAAGAGAAAAAUACAAAACAACAACAACAAAGAAAAAGCCACCCGUCAAAAACCCACCGCGGCUCGCUCACCUGGCCAGGCCUGUGGCGCUCUCCUUGGCGGUCACAGCUCAGAGACGGGAGACAGAGAGCCGGAGAGCCGAGUGUGGCGGCUCUUCCACUGUAGCAGGUUAACUAGGGAGGCCCCCUUCCCUCCCCUGCAAAUGUGAGAUGUCUGUAUCUUAACCACCACGACCUGUGAAUGUGAUCUUACUUGGAAGAGGGGUCUUUUCAUGUGUGACAAAUUUAAAGAUCUCAAGAUGAGGUCAUCUUGGAUUGCCUCAGUGGGCUCUACAUCCAGCGACGGGGGUCCUUACAGGCUGAGGGCGAGGAGAGAGACCCUCGGGGAGAACACACUGCAGACACUGAUGGGAGGGCCAGGGGAAGAUGGGGAAGGCGAGUCCUGAUGCAGCUGCUAGCCAAGGAGCACCAAGGAUCUGGCGCGGAAGCCGUGGGAAACUGACAAAGCCACCAUGGCGCCCGCUUGCCAGGUGUUCUGCUUGCCACCCUUCUCCCUUUGUCUGGACUUGAAACACUCAUAGCAUCUUGGUUGCAAGGUGUCUUACACAGAUAUUGAGGUUCCCUUUUUUCUGGGCUUAGUAAUUAUCAGGAGGUAGGGUGGUGCCCCAAGGACUCCAGGAUCUAGGGAGCAGCUGGGGUCCCCAGUUCUAGAUAAGACUCUGCCACAGACAGAGACACAGCUGUGUGACCUCAUUAACCAGCCACCAUUCACUGACAGAGCUGAGCAUGGUAUGGUAGAAAAUGGGUUCUACGUUUGAUUGCUGGCUCUGCCACUUACUAGCUGUGUGGCCUGGGGUAAGCUACUUAACUUUUCUGGGCCUCCGUUUCCUCACUGAUUCAAUGGGGGAGCUGUCCUGUUAUACACUGGGGAUCUAUCGGUACCAUGGAGAGAUGACCUGAAAAUGAUCCUGCUAUUAAACAUACAGAGAGGUGUUGAAAAGAACAGUCACUGUUAGUACUGAACAGAGUUUCUAAGGAAAUCAGGGUAAUUCCUGGGUAUGUGAAUAUGAAUGUGAAGUUGCUCAGUCGUGUCCGACUCUGUGCGACCCCGUGGACUGUAGCCCACCAGGCUCCUGCGUCCAUGGGAUUCUCCAGGCAAGAGUACUGGAGUGGGUUGCCAUUUAAUUCCAAAAUAAAGAAGGAAAGAAAGCCCAAAGCUGAUAGCACAAUACCUACAGUGCCUGGGGACAGGAGGCACGACCUUGGGUCACAACAAGGCUGGGAGCUGGAACUAGAAAACUGUCAUAAGACUGGUCUUUCAUGAGCUUCCACUCUGACACGGUUGUAAGGAUUAUGUGAGUUUGUACCUUCAAAGCUAUAUUUGGAUGAGGCUGUACUUGACAGCUCUUUUAAUGCCUGUUGUUUUUGGCAGUUCAGUAAUUAUGACACUGUAUUUUGGUGACAGCAUCCCAGUUUAUCUUUGGGAGAUCAUCUCUCUUCCACCACCUUGGUAGGAGGAUAUGCAACUCAGACCUGGCCCAUCAGAGUCAGGGAUUAUUCACAGAUGGAUGUGCAAUCCAAAAUGGGCUGAUCAGAGUGAAUGAUAUCUGAAAAUAUUGGGAAAGAGAAAAAUUCAGUCUCUCUUGGAUCUGCAUGUGAGCGGUGUCUAAGCUGGGGGCUGCCGGAGGACGUCUCUGCCACUAUCUGGGAAGAACCUGCCAGAGGAUGGUGCCAAAACCAAAGAAAGGAAAGAUGAGAGGGAGAGAAGUUCCCAGUGAUACUGUCUGAGUCCCUGGAUCCAGCAGAGCCUGAGACUAUCAGCACCUCCAAACUUCUGGGCUCCUUCCCUCAGUCAGUCAGUCAGUUCAGUCGCUCAGUCGUGUCUGACUCUUUGUGA